AAAUCCGCAUGAGGACACGUAACUCCGAAUUACCAGAAAUGUUACAUAUUGAGGCGUUCAGGUCAUGAACUAAAAUAGAAAACCACACACACUGAUGGGGAAGAAAAAUAGAAAGAAAAUGUGUACAUUUCUACCACUCGUUAUAUAUUUACAAAUAUUUUGAAUUCUCCGUGUGUGUCUUGACCAUAAACUGAUUCCGCUCAUAAUAAGUAGGAGAACACGUAGACACUAGAAUGAAGUCUUCAUAUUCCGACUGGACCCGAAGGCAGCACUAACUCCUCCUCCGGUGACCGCGCGGGAAGUUCUUCAGUUCAAGACAUUCAACCUGGUUUAAAAUGUAGCGAACGCACCGCUCAACUCAUUUUAACACAAUAAACCCACUUUGAGGAACUUCUUGAGAACUACCCGUGACGGCAGGAGACCUCUGCAGUCAUGUCGGACCCGCCCGCGGAGAGGAGCUCCGCUGCACCGACGCGCUUCGGACAGUGUGCCUACACAGCCGAGGAGCAGGAGGCGGUGAACAAAGCUCUGCGACAGAAGCUGGGACCAGAGUACAUCAGCAGCAGAAUGGCUGGCGGAGGACAGAAGGUUUGCUAUGUGGAAGGGCAUCGUGUAAUCGGCCUGGCCAAUGAGAUGUUUGGGUACAAUGGAUGGUCUCACUCCAUCUCUCAGCAGAAUGUCGACUUUAUAGACAUCAUCAACGGGAAGUUUUAUGUCGGAGUGAGCGCGUUUGUCAAAGUGCAACUGAAGGAUGGGGCGUACCAUGAGGAUGUCGGGUACGGGGUCAGCGAAGGACUGAAAUCCAAAGCUCUGGCACUGGAGAAGGCGAGAAAGGAAGCCGUCACAGACGGCAUGAAAAGAGCACUGAAAUGCUUCGGUAAUGCUCUUGGAAACUGCAUCCUGGAUAAAGAAUACCUCAUAGCCAUUAACAAGAUCCCCAAACAGCCUCCUCCUCCUCUAGACCCGGCAAAGACGAAGCGCUGCGAGGGAGAGCCCUCCGUGGAGAAGGCCCGGUACUCCAGCAUGCUCCAAGAGGAAAGGCUUCAAUCCGCUGCGGGUUCUGGGAGGACGCCGCUGGACCCCCGAGUCCUCAACCACAUCCAGAACUAUUCAGAAGUUCACACCCCGGAUGCUGCCGGCCCCGCUGACAGGAAGAGUGACGACAAUGACUCCAAACCGGCCAUGGACUCAGUGAAAGUUGGCGGGUCACUGGAGCACACAGACCCCAAACAGCUGAGAAAGCUCCGACAGCAGCAGCUUCAGCAGAAGUUCAGGAGAGAGAUGGAGAGCAGGAAGCUGCAGCAGAUACCAGGUCAAGCAAAGUGCGAGGACACGUGGGGGACUACUGGACGAGCCUCUGCUGGAGGUCUUGAAGAUGAAGGCACUGCACACAGGAAGCCAAGCGGCAGGGACGAGCAUUUAGCAGGUUAUGUUAGCCGCCACCAGAAGGCUCAACACACUCUGACCUCGUGACGAUCCUGAGCUCUGGGAUUUCUCUCUGGAUGGGAUCGACCUGCUGGACGUCCCUGCCCCCAGGGGGCUGGUACCGGGCACGCCCAGCAACCACAAGAUGCUGACGCGCAGCAAGACCCCUCAGAGAGACGCGGGCAGACCCCCACAUCAGAACCAGUACCCGGCCCAACCAGGUGAAGCAGUCAGUCCGCGCAGACAAGGACAGCACAUGAAGAAACGCAAACUGGACACAUGAGAUCUUAUGUUCCACACCGUUCCAACUUAAUUUUACUUGUUUUUUUUAAGUGUUACAUUGUUACCUUUGCAAUAAAUUGCUGCCAAUUGA